UACAGAGGGUGCGAGCGUUAAUCGGAUUUACUGGGCGUAAAGCGUGCGUAGGCGGCUUUUUAAGUCGGAUGUGAAAUCCCCGAGCUUAACUUGGGAAUUGCAUUCGAUACUGCCUAGCUAGAGUGUGGGAGAGGGUGGUGGAAUUCCCGGUGUAGCGGUGAAAUGCGUAGAUAUCGGGAGGAACAUCAGUGGCGAAGGCGGCUCACUGGCUCGAUACUGACGCUGAGGUGCGAAAGCGUGGGGAGCAAACAGG
rnacentral:misc_RNA from 1 species